rnacentral:lncRNA from 1 species
AGGCUGUAAGACCUGAGCCGGGCGGAGAAGCAAAGGAGAGGGAAGCUGGAAGCACCUUUGGCCCGGGACAGAAAUCUGGAGAGCUUGGCUACCUCCAUCCUCCUCAGGCCGGAGCAGGCUUCCUGAGAGAGUCCAGGUCGUAGGAGUUUUACGACUUAGAAAAGCGGGCUGCAGAUUCCUUCCUGGGUGUUUGGUUCAAGCCUUGGCUCCAGCCUCACUCUCAGUCUUCCCGGGAGUUCGUGGGAUUUGGACCUUAGAUUAUUAGUAUUAUUUUGAGGGCCUCCUGUGUGUAAGCACUGGUUGUGCGCAGAUGGCUGUGCAGAGGGCCAUGAGGUAGAGGCUGGGGAAAUGAGGGCUUGGAGGUGCUUGAGGUAUGGUCUUUACCUACGUGAAAUGUUGGAGGUUGAGAUGAAAACUCUUGCUUUGAAUUCUUCAUGGAGGACUACAUCAUUUCAAUCCUGAAUCUGGCUCAAUUCUAUUAUUCACUUAUUACUGUAUUAAAAACGUUUAAUUGGCCAGGCACAGUGGUUCACGCCUGUAAUCCCAGCACUUUGGGAGGCCAAGGCAGGCGGAUCACUUGAGGUCAGGAGUUCGACACCAGCCUGGCCAACAUGGCAAAACCCCGCCUCUACUAAAAAUACAAAAAUUAGCCAGGCGUGGUGGCACGCACCUGUAAUCACAGCUACUUAGGAGGCUGAGGUGGCAGAAUUGUUUGAACCCAGGAGGUGGAGGUUGCAGUGAGCCGAGAUCACACCACUGCACUCAAGCCUUGGCAUCAGAGUGAGACUCUGUCUCAGUAAAAAAAAAAUAAAUAAAUAAAAAUGUUUAAUUAACCAUGAUAUUUGCUUUGGUAAAACCUUUGAGGUUUAAUGAGAAUUUUAAAAUUCAUUAUACUUUUCUUAUGGCAUAUAAAAGUUUUAAUUUUUUUUAUUGUCUCAACUAACAUCAUAAAUGUCUUAAUGUUAAAAUCCAUGGGAUAUUCUAUUUAAAAUUUUAGCUU